CUACGGGAGGCAGCAGUGGGGAAUAUUGCACAAUGGAGGGAACUCUGAUGCAGCAACGCCGCGUGGAGGAUGACGCAUUUCGGUGUGUAAACUCCUUUUAUAUAGGAAGAUAAUGACGGUACUAUAUGAAUAAGCACCGGCUAACUCCGUGCCAGCAGCCGCGGUAAUACGGAGGGUGCAAGCGUUACUCGGAAUCACUGGGCGUAAAGCGCAUGCAGGCGGUUAAAUAAGUUGGAAGUGAAAUCCUAUGGCUCAACCAUAGAACUGCUUCCAAAACUGUUUAACUAGAGUCUGGGAGGGGAAGAUGGAAUUAGUAGUGUAGGGGUAAAAUCCGUAGAGAUUACUAGGAAUACCAAAAGCGAAGGCGAUCUUCUGGAACAGUACUGACGCUGAGAUGCGAAAGCGUGGGGAGCAAACAGGAUUAGAUACCCUAGUAGUC
rnacentral:rRNA from 1 species